GACGUAGGGGGCGAGCGUUGUCCGGAUUCAUUGGGCGUAAAGCGCGCGUAGGCGGCCCGGUAAGUCGGAUGUGAAAUCUCACGGCUCAACCGUGGAACUGCAUUUGAUACUGGCGUGCUUGAGGACUGGAGAGGAGACUGGAAUUCAUGGUGUAGCAGUGAAAUGCGUAGAGAUCAUGAGGAAGACCAGUGGCGAAGGCGGGUCUCUGGACAGUUCCUGACACUGAGGCACGAAGGUCAGGGGAGCAAACGGG
rnacentral:rRNA from 1 species